UUGAGGCGUGGCUUCCGGAGCUAACGCGUUAAAUCGACCGCCUGGGGAGUACGGCCGCAAGGUUAAAACUCAAAUGAAUUGACGGGGGCCCGCACAAGCGGUGGAGCAUGUGGUUUAAUUCGAUGCAACGCGAAGAACCUUACCUACUCUUGACAUCCAGAGAACUUUCCAGAGAUGGAUUGGUGCCUUCGGGAACUCUGAGACAGGUGCUGCAUGGCUGUCGUCAGCUCGUGUUGUGAAAUGUUGGGUUAAGUCCCGCAACGAGCGCAACCCUUAUCCUUUGUUGCCAGCGGUUCGGCCGGGAACUCAAAGGAGACUGCCAGUGAUAAACUGGAGGAAGGUGGGGAUGACGUCAAGUCAUCAUGGCCCUUACGAGUAGGGCUACACACGUGCUACAAUGGCGUAUACAAAGAGAAGCGACCUCGCGAGAGCAAGCGGACCUCAUAAAGUACGUCGUAGUCCGGAUUGGAGUCUGCAACUCGACUCCAUGAAGUCGGAAUCGCUAGUAAUCGUAGAUCAGAAUGCUACGGUGAAUACGUUCCCGGGCCUUGUACACACCGCCCGUCACACCAUGGGAGUGGGUUGCAAAAGAAGUAGGUAGCUUAACCUUCGGGAGGGCGCUUACCACUUUGUGAUUCAUGACUGGGGUGAAGUCGUAACAAGGUAACCGUAGGGGAACCUGCGGUUG
rnacentral:rRNA from 1 species